CGUGCCUAAUACAUGCAAGUCGAACGCACGAAGUUGAAGAGCUUGCUCUUUAACGAAGUGAGUGGCGGACGGGUGAGUAACACGUGGGUGACCGGCUUAUUAGAGGGGGAUAACAUUCGGAAACGGAUGCUAAUACCGCAUAGUUUCAGGRAUCGCAUGAUUCUUGAAGGAAAGGUGGCUUCGGCUACCACUAAUGGAUGGACCCUCGGCGUAUUAGCUAGUUGGUGAGGUAAUGGCUCACCAAGGCAAUGAUACGUAGCCGACCUGAGAGGGUCAUCGGCCACACUGGGACUGAGACACGGCCCUGACUCCUACGGGAGGCAGCAGUAGGGAAUCUUCCGCAAUGGACGAAAGUCUGACGGAGCAACGCCGCGUGAGUGAAGAAGGUUUUCGGAUCGUAAAACUCUGUUGUUAAAGAAGAACAAGGAUGAGAGUAACUGCUCAUCUCCUGACGGUAUUUAACCAGAAAGCCACGGCUAACUACGUGCCAGCAGCCGCGGUAAUACGUAGGUGGCUAGCGUUGUCCGGAUUUAUUGGGCGUAAAGCGAGCGCAGGCGGUUCUUUAAGUCUGAUGUGAAAGCCCGAGGCUCAACCGGGCAGGGUCAUUGGAAACUGGAGAACUUGAGUGCAGAAGAGGAGAGUGGAAUUCCACGUGUAGCGGUGAAAUGCGUAGAUAUGUGGAGGAACACCAGUGGCGAAGGCGACUCUCUGGUCUGUAACUGACGCUGAGGCUCGAAAGCGUGGGGAGCAAACAGGAUUAGAUACCCUGGUAGUCCACGCCGUAAACGAUGAGUGCUAAGUGUUGGAGGGUUUCCGCCCUUCAGUGCUGCAGCUAACGCAUUAAGCACUCCGCCUGGGGAGUACGGCCGCAAGGCUGAAACUCAAAGGAAUUGACGGGGACCAGCACAAGCGGUGGAGCAUGUGGUUUAAUUCGAAGUAACGCGAAGAACCUUACCAGGUCU
rnacentral:rRNA from 1 species